AAACAACGUUACUCCGUUGAGCUCUAGUGCCGCUCGAAAGCAGCUUUGAGUGUGCUUUUUUUACCGUUUAUACACAAUUUAAAGCUUGCACGAGUUUACCAUGGCUAGCUUGCUGUUCUUGUUGUUAUUUGGAGGAAUUUUGAGCAGUUUUCAAGCGAUAUUAGUUUCAAGCGGUAAGUGAACCUAUAAACAUUUUUAAUCCUUUAUAAUUUGAGCACUUUAUAUACACUUCAAUACUUGGCGUAUUAAAUAAUACUACUGUAC